rnacentral:sRNA from 1 species
GAUCCCCGUCCCACCUUCUCCUGUAGCUUCAGCCCAGGCCUUCCCCGACACCGGGCCUUGCGCACAGCCCCCAUCCAGCCCCGUGUCUGGGGUGAGCAUAGGUGGGGAGGGCCCCAAGCUCACGUGAGCACGUUCUGGAAGUCUGACCCUUAGGGAAAGAGGGAGUCAAGCCCAUGGCCACUGGGAUCACUCACAAGUGUAACUCUCCACCUCAAAACCCUUCCAACUCCCAGAGCCUGUGCCUCUGGAGGAGGUCCAAUUGGUGGUGGAGCCAGAAGGUGGAGCAGUAGCUCCUGGUGGAACCGUAACCCUGACCUGUGAAGUCCCUGCCCAGCCCUCUCCUCAAAUCCACUGGAUGAAGGAUGGUGUGCCCUUGCCCCUUCCCCCCAGCCCUGUGCUGAUCCUCCCUGAGAUAGGGCCUCAGGACCAGGGAACCUACAGCUGUGUGGCCACCCAUCCCAGCCACGGGCCCCAGGAAAGCCGUGCUGUCAGCAUCAGCAUCAUCGAACCAGGCAAGGAGGGGCCAACUGCAGGCUCUGUGGGAGGAUCAGGGCUGGGAACUCUAGCCCUGGCCCUGGGGAUCCUGGGAGGCCUGGGGACAGCCACCCUGGUCAUUGGGGUCAUCUUGUGGCAAAGGCGGCAACGCCAAGGAGAGGAGAGGAAGGCCCCAGAAAACCAGGAGGAAGAGGAGGAGCGUGCAGAACUGAAUCAGUCGGAGGAACCUGAGGCAGGCGAGAGUAGUACUGGAGGGCCUUGAGGGGCCCACAGACAGAUCCUAUCCAUCAGCUCCCUUUUCUUUUUCCCUUGAAUUGUUCUGGCCUCAGACCAACUCUCUCCUGUAUAAUCUCUCUCCUGUAUAACCCCACCUUGCCAAGCUUUCUUCUACAACCAGAGCCCCCCACAAUGAUGAUUAAACACCUGACACAUCUUGC